CGUUAUGAAAAGACAGGUGCAAGAGAAAAAGGAGGACGGAUGGUGUAGCCUACUUUCCAUACAAUUAUUUCCAGUCUUUGUACGUUUCACACACUGGACAAGAGGGGCGUCGGGAAAAGAAACUGAUGGCUGUGUGUAAAAGAUUUGAACUUCAGAUGGCAACUGUUGUGUGUCUGAUGAUUACGAUAUAUAUGAUGGUCUACCAUAAUGUUCAUGGAGAGCUAAUCCAAGAGGUUCCCACUCAACAAAAACUGAGGUUGCUACCCGAGUAAUCUUCAUCCACCUGGUCCGUGCACUUGUCCUUCCGGCGCAGUGCUCCUCAAAGGUGGCCUCCCUAAGGAUCAGUAUGAGCAGCUGGUGCAACGGCGAGCUAAAGAGUUCAAACAACACAAAGCCAGGACUACGUCUGUAUUAUCCAGAAUGCUGUUUGCUUCGCCUAACUCUCCUCUGCAGUAUCCUAUUCAGGGUUUUAAAGUACGGCCUUUGACCUCCACUCUCAUACCAGAGUUGGAUGCACUGGGUGAUGAGCUGCUGUUGGCCUCGUCUAUCCCGUAAUCCCCAGUGACAAACAAGCUAUUUCUUGGUACUGGUUCUUCCACCUUCACUACCUCAGUGGAGACGGACACAAUAUGCUGCUGUGAGGUCAGAGGAGAGACAGCGGCUGAUGGAUGAGUCAGAAGAGGGGCAGGAGAAAUCCACCUCAGGAGACUGAGUCCUAGAGGGUCGAUGAGAGAGGCUCACAGCCACACCACCCUGAAAACAACCAAGCUCCUCCCGUGUGGAGAAUUGUUGUUUUUAGCAACUUGAAAAGGCUAAGCAUUUUUUACUCUUCCACAAGUGUGGCAAGAGUCCUGUCCACAGCCACAGGAGUCUUCUACAAGUGGAUAGUUGUGGAAGACUCCUGGUUGUAAAUGCAGUUUCAAGAGUUUGUAUAUAAAUGUAAAAAAUGAUGCUUUUGAUGAAAAUUUCAAAUACUUUUAAAAACAUUUAAAAAUGGAUUUCUAUUACGUUUAUUUAAAAUGCAUCUGCAUCAGAAAUACUAUUUGUGAACAUUUUGUCCAAAGGUUACGUCUGACAGUAUUCUGCCUUCAGACAUAUUGCU